GCUCGAAUAGCUCAGCUGGUUAGAGCGUCGUGCUAAUAACGCGAAGGUCUUGGGUUCGAUCCCCAGUUUGAGCA
rfam:Blastocystis hominis, Singapore isolate B (sub-type 7) whole genome shotgun sequence assembly, scaffold_5